GAUCAGAGCCAUAUCACCCUGCAGCCCAAGACUUACUCACAGAAGCUAAGCAGGGCUGAGCCUGGUCAGUACCUGGAUAGGAGCCCACAUGGGAAAACUAGGUUGCUGUUGGAA
rfam:Danio rerio chromosome 18, GRCz11 reference primary assembly.